rnacentral:misc_RNA from 1 species
AAGUCGUAACAAGGUAACCGUAGGUGAACCUGCGGUUGGAUCAUUAAUAAAUAUAGAAGGUCUUAAAGACCUUUCUAACAUCUUGUGAAUCGUUCAUGUCUCUGGCAGGCUUCCGUCUGCCGCUUACACUUUGUAUUAUAUUAUAGUCUAAAAAUCUAAAAAAAGUAAUUAAAACAACUUUUGGCAACGGAUCUCUUGGUUCUCC